rnacentral:rRNA from 1 species
AGUGAACGCUGGCGGUAGGCCUAACACAUGCAAGUCGAACGGCAGCACAGUAAGCGCUUUCUCUUACGGGUGGCGAGUGGCGGACGGGUGAGGAAUACAUCGGAAUCUACUUUUUCGUGGGGGAUAACGUGGGGAAACUGACGCUAAUACCGCAUACGACCUACGGGUGAAAGCAGGGGAUCUUCGGACCUUGGCCGAUUCAAUGAGCCGAUGUCGGAUUAGCUAGUUGUCGUGGUAAAGGCCCACCAAGGCGACGAUGCGUAGCUGGUCUGAGAGGAUGAUCAGCCACACUGGAACUGAGACACGGUCCAGACUCCUACGGGAGGCAGCAGUGGGGAAUAUUGGACAAUGGGCGCAAGCCUGAUCCAGCCAUACCGCGUGGGUGAAGAAGGCCUUCGGGUUGUAAAGCCCUUUUGUUGGGAAAGAAAAGCAGCAGGUUAAUACCCCGCUGUUCUGACGGUACCCAAAGAAAAAGCACCGGCUAACUUCGUG